rnacentral:rRNA from 1 species
CCUACGGGUGGCAGCAGUGGGGAAUAUUGCACAAUGGGGGAAACCCUGAUGCAGCGACGCCGCGUGAGUGAAGAAGUAUCUCGGUACGUAAAGCUCUAUCAGCAGGGAAGAAAAUGACGGUACCUGACUAAGAAGCCACGGCUAACUACGAGCCAGCAGCCGCGGUAAUACGUAGGGUGCAAGCGUUAUCCGGAUUCACUGGGUGUAAAGGGAGCGUAGACGGCGAGACAAGUCUGGAGUGAAAGGUCGGGGCCCAACCCCGGGACUGCUGUUGAAACUGGCUGGCUGGAGUACAGGAGAGGUAAGUGGAAUUCCUAGUGUAGCGGUGAAAUGCGUAGAUAUUAGGAAGAACUCCAGUGGCGAAGGCGGCUUACUGGACUGUAACUGACGUUGAGGCUCGAAAGCGUGGGUAUCAAACAGGAUUAGAUACCCGUGUAGUC